rnacentral:tRNA from 1 species
UGGGAUGUGGCUCAGUGGCAGAGCGCUUGCCUCUCACAUGCAAGACCCUGGGUUCAAUCCUCAACACCACAU